AUGUCUGGGCGCGGCAAGGGAGGCAAGGGGCUCGGCAAGGGCGGCGCCAAGCGCCACCGGAAGGUUCUUCGCGACAACAUCCAGGGCAUCACCAAGCCGGCCAUCCGGCGCCUGGCGAGGAGGGGCGGCGUGAAGCGCAUCUCCGGCCUCAUCUACGAGGAGACCCGCGGCGUGCUCAAGAUCUUCCUCGAGAACGUCAUCCGUGACGCCGUCACCUACACGGAGCACGCCCGCCGCAAGACCGUCACCGCCAUGGACGUCGUCUACGCGCUCAAGCGCCAGGGCCGCACCCUCUACGGCUUCGGCGGCUAG
rnacentral:rRNA from 1 species